rnacentral:lncRNA from 1 species
AAAACAUUUCUCGAUACUGACCUGAAACUUACUCGAGGGACCAAAACCACUCUUGUAAUCUUUCUUGAUGUUUGUUGUUUGUGCGUGUCUGAGCCUCUCUGUUUAUCUAUUACCGCUCUUAAUAGACUUUGUUUGUGUUUUCAUUGUGUUUUUCGUUAAUCAGAUUGGAGAAUAAACCGACUAUUGUAAUUAUAACAAUGUACGAUUCGUUUAAGCUAAAUUGCAUAAAGAUUUAUUUAUUUAUUUACACGUUUCUAAUUAGAUUUUAACUUUUAUUUUAUUUUCAGGCAUGGAAGAAGCAGAUCAGUUAUGUCUGGCGGCUAAAUCCAACGACUUCAAAAAAGUUCGAACUUUAAUUACCUCCGGCGCCGACGUUUCUCACUUUGACGGCGACAGUCUAACGCCGUUAAUGCACGCCGCUAAAACCGGAAACGCCGAGAUAAUCUCUGCAUUGCUCGAAGCGGGAGCUCCAUGGAACGCUCUAUCUCCAUCAAACCUCUCAGCUGGAGACUUCUUUUUUUUUUUUUACAUGAGAUGCUUUUUUGAGCUCACAUUCUUAACAGAGAGAUGCGUCCCAUUGUAUAGCUUAUGAAGUUUCAGUAUGAAGUCAUACCAUUCAUUAAGAACCACAACCUGCAGAGACAAGUGUAUGAAUGUGUCCAAAAGCUAAUUCACAUCUAUCAACAUAAUUUUUUUUUUAAAAACCUUAAUUAAGACACUAGCAUUGGAGCACUAAAAUUAGGUGUUUCUUAACAAAAAUUCUUAACUUAAUUUUAAUACUUAAAUAUUCACUAAAAACCCACUUAGAGGUUGCCCCAAUAAACAUGUUCUUAUACAUAACCAUAACAUAGUAAACAAAUUAUCGUCUAAUAAUUAGAUAGACAAUAUUCGCUUCAGUACCGUAUUGCAAUUACACCAAAGAGAAAAAGACUUCAGUUUACACAUUCUGUGAAAGCAAUCCAGUAUAUCAUUGUUUUUGUUGUCAUUUUCCACUACUAAAAGCUGUUAUCCAAACCAAACCAAAACUCGUUUUAUCCCCACACGAAAAUAUAUUGUAUCAUCGCUAGGGAUGAGUAUUAUCCACAGGUGGGUUGAUGUUGUGCAACAUAUUAAUAAAAAGUAAAUCUUCGAUACUUUAAUCCUUUGAAUUUUUUUUUUUUAGGGUCUGCGACUUGUUCAAGUAUGUCGGAACCCGAAUAUUCGGAAUAAAGGUAAAUGCGUAAAAAAGCCCGAAUGAAAAAGACGGUCUCUCUAGUUUACUUGAGCUGCAUCUAGUCCGAUAGUUACACGUAUCCAGAUACUGUCGCUCUCUUGACUCGAACCGCUCCCACAUUUUUCUGGAACUAUGGAAAUCUAAAAGAAACGUUAUAUUAUGUUUAUUAAGACGAAAAUACCCUCGUAUAGGGCACACGAAGUCUGUCCAUAAAUAUGGGCCUUCUACAAUGCAAUCCUUCCCUUUUCCCCUUCUAUCCUUCUCGUCUAACAUUUUGACUAGAAAAAUAUACUUUUGUUUUACAUUUUUGGUUUUAAGUUGUGAGAACCAUCAUGUCCUCAAAUUUUACGGUUUUCUCAUCUGAACCCGGUACGUGCUCAGCUCUGGAAUCUGGAUUAACUCCAUGGAACCAUGCCUCAGAUAUAUUCUCCAUGUUUGAUUCACCGGUGUGCCCCGUGGAAGUAAAUCCCGGUUUAGAGAAAACAAACUCGUGUCCAAUUCAAACCAGAAAUGAUCCCAAUCCCGGUUUGGAAGAUACUCAUCUUCCUGAUAAAGAUGAGCGGCGAAAGAAACGAAAAAAAUCAAACCGAGAAUCUGCUAGGCGGUCCAGGAUCAAGAAACAAAAACACCUAGAAGAGGUGAGAAGCCAACUUAACCAGCUCAAUACUGAAAACCGGGACCUAGUCAACCGGCUUCGGUACUUUAUGCACCAUUGUCAACACGCAAAGAUGGAAAGUGAUCGUCUAAGAUUGGAACAUAAAGUUCUCCUAGAUAAGCUGUUGAACUUACGACAAGCUUUGGUGCUGAGACAAGUCCAGCAGAGCUCAACAUGUGCAUGCGUUGAGAGUACCGUUGUAACGUACGGUCUAUCAUCAGAAUCCGUCAAUGAUAUGAGAUCACGUCAAUUGAGUUUUGCGGAGAAAACAAUACUGCGUCGUCAUCGACCAAGCGGGAAUAAUUACUACUGUACUACUAGUCUUUAAUAUUUGUUUUGUAUAGAAGUAAGGCAUCGGCUAGUUACCUUAUGUCGGAAUAUAUAUAUGUCAUAUACAAAUUACGAGAGUUACUCUUUUUAUUUACUUAUAUGUUUUAAAUGGGUUAUUUGGAGAAUCUAUUGGUUACAACAUAUCAUUUCUAAGUUUCAGAAGAAAACAUACCAUUUAUAUUUUACUGAAAUGUGAAGAUAACAUAAGUGCGACAAACCUCUAGAUUUGAUUAAGUGAGAAGUAUGCGCAUGAUAAAUAAAAUAAUAGAAUUGGUCUAAAUUUGAUCAUUCAAACACUAUCCGCUAAUCAUUAACCGCGCGCAAUUCGUAGCAGUUUAUCAGUAUAGGAAGUCCAAAAAUUGCACGAAGCAUAUAAUAUUUGGUUAUAAAUUACAUUUGACGAUUACUUUUUAAUGGCCGUAAGAAAAUACUAAAUGGGAAUCUAAUAUUAUGAAAUAGUUUGAGACAACGUUGCAUAUCCCUACCAAAGAUUGCUUUUAUUAUACUUUUGGUAUAGUGUUUCAUGCUCACUAGACAUGGUGAUCCACGUUAGCUUUAUUAUGCUUUAACGUAUACGAUUUCGAACAUGUGGAUUACUUUUUUUUUCUUUUACCAAAUCUGGAUGUAUAUUACAUGAAUGGUCUUAUAACAUUAUAACAUCGUAGGUCCACUAGGCAUUUCUUAAUAAAGCGCACCUUAUUUUACUCAUCUAUUUAUUUGAUAAGUAUGAAGAACUUGAAUUGAGUACGUAGUAGUUUAUAUGAUGCUGUGCUUAUAUAACAAUACAAAACACUGUAACUAACGCAUCAAACAUGAGGAUGUUUUUGAUAAAGUAAUAAAAAAUUCGAGGGGGUUUAACACUUCCAAGGUGUCUAAAAUUAGUUAAAAAUAUAUAUAAGAGAAAGAGAAGCAAAAGUUAAGUUUCUACAAGAAAUCUAUCAAUCUCGCUUUUUCUUUUCCUUUUUUCAAAUGCUUUUGCUUUCCUCCAUUUAGAGUCUUUGGUGAAUCUAUAAUUGAACUAUCUGUUACGUAACUAAUUAGUGCUUGUGAUAAAAACUUAACGACUAGUCGUCGACCUAUAAACAUUACAACAAUCAGACCAAAUAUAAUGAAUCGUUUUGUUUGCUAAGAAAACAGCAAGAUAAUUAAGUAUAGGUUAAUAUAAAUCAAACUAGGGUUGAAAUGUGAACUUGUAUGGUUCUGCGAAAAAUCUCGUUUUGCACGUUUUUGGCUAUUUUUGUUUGCAAGCCAUCCAAUCACCGUGUCUCUUUGUUCCAAUGCAUUGUAGAAAAAUAACAUGAAUAAUUGAAGACUCAAGAAAAGGAUGCUUUUAAGUUAUAACAACAAAAGGAUGUAAAAGCUAGUAGCUACCCACCGUUUAAAAGAAAUUUCAAUACAAGAAGGGAUUUACGUGAUACUAUAUGAAUCUUUAGAAACUUUCGAUUUGAAUUUGAAUUUUACGAAUGCAUUUAAUAACAAAAUUAUCUGAUGGCGAGUAAGAAAUUAAAGGAGGAACUUGGUUUGUCAACUAAUUAAAUCCAGUUAUUGCAUGUGGUCUUCGAAUUGUUUUUAGUGUCAAAAAGUAAAACAAUGUAAAGUUACUUUUAUUUGUUCAUGAUAAUUUUGACCAAAAACAAAAUUUUUUGUUCAUGAUAAGAUGCAUUCGAAAAUGUUUAUAACGUACGUUUUUAUAAAAAAAUGACAUCUUUUUUUUAAACUUAAUUUCAUAUAUAAAUUGAUGAAGAAAUAAAAUGAUACAAGCCUUCCAGCUAGUGUAUUUGUCCCAGCCAGCCCGGUUAAUCAGCCCAAAAAGUUUAAGUACCCAAAUCAAUGAUCCUAAUUGCCUUUUGAGUAAAACUAGGCCUUAGCCCAAGUUAGAGAAGUCGGGAAGAUGAAACGGAUAAUGGUUUGUGUCGUUAAAUCCGAUGAAGCUGCUGGAGAGUCAUGCAAGCCAUUGUUGCAUCAUCUUUGAGGAAAGCCGAGGACUACUUUCACGAUAGCUGAGAAUUAUGUCUCUUAUUUUUCGAUCAAUCAGCCUAGUCAGCACAUCAACAGAACGUAAAAUAUUACGGUGGAGGCGACUGUUUCUUUCCUGCCUAGUCCAUGGGAUGCAACUUUGCCAGGUAAGAAGGAUCAGUCUUCCUCUCCAGUUACGGCUAUGAUACGGUUGAAGUUGUGUUGUGAUAUCGUUCCAUUGUUGUUGAGAAUCCAGACCGCAACGACGAGCAAGAGGGUACCACAAGCUCCACGAGUAGGGACAGAGAAAGUAGAGAUGAUCACGCGACUCUGGAGAGGAGUUACAGGGCAAGCAAGUUGGUAAAGUUUGGAGUCCCCAACUCAAGAAUCUGUCUCUUGUGGGACAACGAUUCAAAAGAAAAAGCCAACAGAGGAAUUAAGGAAUGCUUCGGAAUCCCUCAGACAAUCCGGACAAUAUGAAACCAAGGAACAGUCGCUCCAUGACCAUAUAAGAUUGCAUAAACUUUACCGGUUGAGAAGGUUGUUUGAAUAUUACCUUCCAGUUCCCAUUCGUAAAAGUCCUCUUAUAUUAUCAAUUCUACUGUAGUUAGGGUGUGGCAGAUUCCAGUGGUUGUUUUUGAAAAGGGAAGACAGAGUGGCGUUCUCUCGGAUUCCCAGAGACGAGUUCAAGUCUGUGGCUAGAAAACUUUUCAGACAGCCAAAAGUUGACCAAUUAUCAGUCCAGAAGCGGCAAGUUUCUCCAUUCCUUACUCUUAGUUUAAUCUAGUCAUAGAUCUCACUUCUCAAUUUGAGUAAUUUGUUUACUAACCAGGAGUUUUGUACUUGGUUUUACUGUCCAGAAUGAGUUGAGAUCAGUGUUGAGCACUGUUUCUGUGAACAAAAUCGAACCAGCUUCAAAGAAAAGCGGCCAUAUCAAUUUUAAUAUACAAGGUUUGUUCCAAAUCUCAAGGUUUCUAACUCCAAGUCCUCCUUCCGUCUUCGGUUUUGCCACCACCUCCCAACUAACCCUUGCUGUGUACUGAUCUUCAAAGUUUCCUUUCUACAGAAAACUCCGCAUAACGAAUUGAUUCGUUUGAUGAAAGUUUUCGGGAGCACGAAAGAUGAACACCAGAAAUUAGUUAUUCCAGCGUUCGGGUGAGGCUUUUCAUCACAAUUAAUAUAUUUAGAAGCCCAUAAAUAACCCAAUGAAACCCUAACUUUAGAAGACUCUGCUACCACCGUCGGUAUAUAAAUACUAAACACUUUUGUCUCCAUAACUAGCCAUCUCUUUUAUUUCUUCUAUGUUUGUCACUUAUUCUCAUUCAGUUUACGUGAUUUUAAUUCAUGGUUUUCAUUGCUGAGCUAUUUUUAAUUUCGCUGGAAACAUUUUCUUUUGGUUUUAUUGUUAUUUUAAUUUUUCCAAAUUCGAUCGAGAAGAGAGCAGUGAUUAUAAAAUACAAGAAUCAAAAAAUUCUGAUCUGCUCAUUAACUGGGCAUGAUAGACUCAUAAUACACCCAUAGAAUAUGAGCUCUCUUCUCUGAACAUCUUUUUCUUCAUCUUUGUUGGUUUUUACCAGUUAAAUUGUACUUACCUAGCUCUACUCUGGGAUGGAUAUGGCUACUUUUAGUCGUUUAUAUUAAUUAAUCUAUAACAAUUUCACUAACUUAAUAACACUAAAUUAGUGAAUCACAAAACCUUAAAUACAGACUAAACCAAUUUUUGUAUGUAAAAUUAUAGCACAGAGGAUAAGUAUAACGAUGAGCGAUAAACUGUAGAAUAUACUCGGACAACUGAUUAUUAUUAUUUUUUCUUCGGGACAUUUCUUUUGGUUUUUUAUCACUUUUUGUCCGUCACGUAAAAUCUUAAACAAACUGUGAUUACACAUGAUUUGACCCAGACUAUAUUAAGAUUCGCAUUGGAUUUGGACAAAUAAAUGAGAUAUCAUAUAUGGGCUUUUUAUAUUUGAAGAUGUAUAAUCCUAUCCCCAUGAUCCAUGGAUUGUGAAUGUUUAAGGAGAAAACUAAUUUACUUCUGCCCAAUAAUUAGUCAAGGAAACUUUAGCUGGAAGUUAGAUAGUAGAAGUUGUUUAUUUAUUUUCCUAAUUAAAAUAUUACCCUUAGAUUGUCUUAACGAUACUAGAAAUGGCCUUAAAAUGACGAAGUCGAUCGAAAUAAGCCCACUAAAAUAUUUACUUAUAUAUCAUUAAAAGCCCAUAGAGGCCCAACGAAACCCUACUUCUAAAUCCACCGUCAGAUGUAUAAAUAAGUAGCUACUAGAAUCGCCGAUCUUUAUGAAAUUCGUCUCCAUUCGCGAUUCACUCCUGCAACAAAGGCAAAUUAACACUACCUUCCAUACAUCUUUUGAAAUUCUCAGUUUCGUUUCUUCUUUCUUUUACCAUUCCAUGUUCUUCUUAGGUAGAAAUUUUAAAAAUUUAGAGGCGAUGAUGACAAAAAACAUUUCUCGAUACUGACCUGAAACUUACUCGAGGGACCAAAACCACUCUUGUAAUCUUUCUUGAUGUUUGUUGUUUGUGCGUGUCUGAGCCUCUCUGUUUAUCUAUUACCGCUCUUAAUAGACUUUGUUUGUGUUUUCAUUGUGUUUUUCGUUAAUCAGAUUGGAGAAUAAACCGACUAUUGUAAUUAUAACAAUGUACGAUUCGUUUAAGCUAAAUUGCAUAAAGAUUUAUUUAUUUAUUUACACGUUUCUAAUUAGAUUUUAACUUUUAUUUUAUUUUCAGGCAUGGAAGAAGCAGAUCAGUUAUGUCUGGCGGCUAAAUCCAACGACUUCAAAAAAGUUCGAACUUUAAUUACCUCCGGCGCCGACGUUUCUCACUUUGACGGCGACAGUCUAACGCCGUUAAUGCACGCCGCUAAAACCGGAAACGCCGAGAUAAUCUCUGCAUUGCUCGAAGCGGGAGCUCCAUGGAACGCUCUAUCUCCAUCAAACCUCUCAGCUGGAGACUUCGCAAUGGAAGCAGGACACCAAGAAGCGUUCGAUCUCCUCCUCAAAACCGGAAUCCAAUCCGAGCUAAUCUUGGGAACAAUCGCUCGCAAAGAAACCAAGAACGAAUACUCCAACCAAGAGUAUCUCCAAG